AUUGUUAGACACCUCUAUUGCUCCUUGCUUUCGAUAACGGCUCCAUGAAGCUUUGCAUCCUCAAGAUAAGGAUCUGAUUGGUGUCAUGGUAAUACACAUGGUGAUGACAAGGUCCCUUAGUCCUGCCACCCAAGGCAGGGAUUUGAGCAGACUUGGAUGCUCGUGACAACCAUUCUCCAGGAUCGAAAUAUUGUCAAUGGGAAAUCAAAGGUGUUCCUUUGAGAAUCGAGAUCGGUCCAAAAGAUUUGUCAAAUAAGCAGAUAGGCUGGAACGAAUAUUUGCCUGUGGCAGCGAUGUCCUUUUCUUGAUCUGCAUGGUUAAGGUGAAAUUCUGGGCAACGUGAUGUACCCUUGUCCCUAGAUCUACCCUUGGACAUGGCUUCUUGCUCUUCCUACGGUAACAUGGUUUUUUUUUGUCCUGGCUUUGACAUUGGUGGCGGAUGUGGGCCGCUGCUGGUGUCGCCGGAGAGGAUGCCACCGUCCUUGUGUCCUGCUGCUCGACGAUAACUACGGUGACGAGAUCGAUCACGGCGACCUUCCUCCAUCGCGCCGCCGUGCAGGGCCGCCGCCACCGUCCCGCUUCCUCCAUCGCGCCGUGGUGAAUGGCCGGGCUUCACGCAGGUUCAGAUUGACCACGCCAAGCUGUUGAUCGAUCAUUCUAUGGCAGAGGAACAGGUUCAAGUAAAUUGAUCAAACCCAGUUCAGCUUGCCUGAUCCUUAUCCAUCUGCGUUUGCAGAAAUGGGAGAUGGGAGAAGAAGAAAUCUGCACAAAAGGAGAAGAAGAAAGCUGAACAAGAGACAUUUCUAACAAAUACUUUGAUUCUUCGAAAAGCUCUACACUUUAAGUCCACUAAUUUAGUAUUUAUUUCAGGUUCACUCCAUGAAAAUGAAAAAUAAAAGAUCAAAUGCAAAAAAGAAAAUCAUCCGAGAGAGACAGCCUACAACAAGAGGAGACGAAAUAUGAGGAAUCUUUUUUCUUGGACAUUAGUUUUUCUUUUUGAAACGCGGGCAAAAGCUUUGCCCUUUCUAUUAAUUAAGGAGAAGUUUUACAAGAAAAAAAAGGUGUUGGACUAUCGAUACUUUGGCUCAUGCGUUGGAAAAGGCAACGGGACAUGGGCUUCUCAAUAAGAUCCGAGGGCGGGGUACCAUCCUCCGCACAUCUCUUUAUGCGGAUGAUGUGGCGGUUUUGUAGCCCCUAUUAAAGAAGACAUUCAAAACCUCGCCCACAUCCUCAAUGACUUCGGAAAGGUUACCAGGCUAUGCACAAACUUCCUCAAGAGCUCCGUAGUGCCCAUAAGGAACCGUUUGACUUUAGUGUUAGCAACAUAAAUCCAACAAUGACAGCUGCAUCACCAUAUGGAGGUUCAUCGUCUGUCGUUAUGCCUCCAAUUCUAGGAAAAUAUACAAGCAUGUUGUAUCAAGUUCAGCAAAGCUCCGCUCCUGUGUCCAGUUCUCUGCAAUUACGCUUUGAUGGAACUGGAGAAGUCCAACAAUACGAUGGAUCAAAGUUAGAGAUGAAUUGUGUAAUUUAAGGAUGUUGGAUGCAGACCUUUGUUAUAAUCUUUUAUGCACUUGGAAAUUUUAAUGUAAUAGCUAAUAGGCACAGGGUAGUAGAAAGUAAACGAAUUUAUGUUUCGGAAUCUGGAUUCUCCACAGUGUAUUUGAACUGAUUAUUGAAUUAUAUGCGAUUGCAAUUUUCAGUA